ACCAUCUUCACCAUUCACCACAAGAGCGAGUAGAGCCCAAACUCAGGAACUCACCUUGGGUGCAGGGACUGCUGUGCUCCCAGAAAACAUCCCCUGUACGAAGAGUGAUAACAAGGCCUGCCAAAGCCAGGGAUUGAACCAGGUACCUUUAGAGCUUCGGUCUAACACUCUCCCAACUGAGCUACUCUGGCAGUUAUAUGAGAGCAUUUUGGCCUGUUGCUUCUCUGUCUGGGAUGUUUUUGUCAGCAGUUGCACACAAAAAGGACAGGAAAACAAAUGGCUGCUCCACACCCCCACCGGAGGAACCCGGCACCAUUAGCUGUGCCCCAUAGCUCCCAUGGAGUCGCUGACUUGGCUUCUUUCGCACUCUAGAGACAGGAGCAGAACCAGGGCUAUGGCUGAUCUAUGGGGCAUCAGGUGACUGCCAGAGGCUUCAGGUGCUGAGAGUUUGCCUGACCCCUCAGGGACACAGUGUGAGGUGGUGCCCCAGGGAUCUCUAUGAAAGGAGCAGAACGGGAUUUACUUGGGGUGGGGAGAGAAUUGAGAGUGUCUCAGGGGGUUGUAUAGAGAUGUUGCCCGGGUGAGAGACUGGCUAAAACACAGGCCUCACUGUGAGUAGGAUUCAAACUUGCUCAGGGAAACCCUUUUGGAUUUCAACUCCCACAUCUUAACCACUUGGCCAUCACAGCUGUGAAUACAAAAAUGCCCCAAUGCCAGAGAAACUGGUAAAAAAUCACAAUGACCAGGUGUGAAGCCAUCUGAACCACAGAAUUCCCACCACAAACCUGGCUCCCAAAGCACAGGGGGGAUUUGGGGUUUGUUCUCUUUGCUUAGCCAUGUGCAGUAGCACAGAGAGCACGUUUAAAAGUCUCUCCUCCCACAGAGCGGGAAUGGGAAAUGAUUCUCAACUUGAAGCCUGAUGUAGGGUGACCAGACGGCCCGAUUUUAUCGGGACUGUCCUGAUAUUUGCUUAUUUGUCCCGCGUCCCAAGCGAUGUGUGGUCGGGACCCUGGACAAACAAAUAACUUUGUCCUCUGUUCCAGCACACAGGCAUAGUCUGGAGGGAUACUUGUCCCCUCCAACUCCACCCUCUCAUUCCCCCAUUGGAU